AUUGAACGCUGGCGGCAUGCCUUACACAUGCAAGUCGAACGGUAACAGGUCUUCGGAUGCUGACGAGUGGCGAACGGGUGAGUAAUACAUCGGAACGUGCCUAGUAGUGGGGGAUAACUACUCGAAAGAGUGGCUAAUACCGCAUGAGAUCUACGGAUGAAAGCAGGGGAUCGCAAGACCUUGUGCUACUAGAGCGGCCGAUGGCAGAUUAGGUAGUUGGUGGGAUAAAAGCUUACCAAGCCGACGAUCUGUAGCUGGUCUGAGGGGACGAUCAGCCACACUGGGACUGAGACACGGCCCAGACUCCUACGGGAGGCAGCAGUGGGGAAUUUUGGACAAUGGGCGAAGGCCUGAUCCAGCAAUGCCGCGUGCAGGAUGAAGGCCUUCGGGUUGUAAACUGCUUUUGUACGGAACGAAAAGCCCCGGGUUAAUACCCUGGGGUCAUGACGGUACCGUAAGAAUAAGCACCGGCUAACUACGUGCCAGCCGCCGCAGUAA
rnacentral:rRNA from 1 species